rnacentral:rRNA from 1 species
GACGAACGCUGGCGGCGUGCUUAAUACAUGCAAGUCGAACGAUGAACCCGGAGCUUGCUCCGGCGGAUUAGUGGCGAACGGGUGAGUAACACGUGAGUAACCUGCCCUUGACUCUGGGAUAACUGCGGGAAACUGUAGCUAAUACCGGAUACGACCCUCGGCGGCAUCGCCAGGGGGUGGAAAGAAUUUCGGUCAAGGAUGGACUCGCGGCCUAUCAGCUAGUUGGUGAGGUAACGGCUCACCGAGGCGACGACGGGUAGCCGGCCUGAGAGGGGGACCGGGCACACUGGGACUGAGACACGGCCCAGACUCCUACGGGAGGCAGCAGGGGGGAAUAUUGCACAAUGGGCGCAAGCCUGAUGCAGCAACGCCGCGUGAGGGAUGACGGCCUUCGGGUUGUAAACCUCUUUUAGUAGGGAAGAAGCGAAAGUGACGGUACCUGCAGAAAAAGCACCGGCUAACUACGUGCCAGCCGCCGCCGUAA